GAUCAUGGCUCAGGAUGAACGCUAGCGGCAGGCUUAACACAUGCAAGUCGAGGGGCAGCGGGAUGUAGCAAUACAUUGCCGGCGACCGGCGGAUGGGUGCGUAACGCGUAUGCAACCUACCUUAUACAGGGGAAUAACCUUUCGAAAGGGAGACUAACACCCCAUAGUAUUGAUUUAAGGCAUCUUAGAUUAAUUAAAUAUUUAUAGGUAUAAGAUGGGCAUGCGUAUGAUUAGCUAGUUGGUAAGGUAACGGCUUACCAAGGCGACGAUCAUUAGGGGUUCUGAGAGGAAGGUCCCCCACACUGGUACUGAGACACGGACCAGACUCCUACGGGAGGCAGCAGUGAGGAAUAUUGGUCAAUGGGCGCAAGCCUGAACCAGCCAUGCCGCGUGCAGGAAGACGGCCUUAUGGGUUGUAGACUGCUUUUACAUAAGACUAACCGUAUAUUUGCGAAUAUACCUGAAUGUAUUAUGAGAAUAAGGAUCGGCUAACUCCGUGCCAGCCGCGGC
rnacentral:rRNA from 1 species